rnacentral:rRNA from 1 species
GACGAACGCUGGCGGCGUGCUUAACACAUGCAAGUCGAACGGAAAGGCCCUGCUUUUGUGGGGUGCUCGAGUGGCGAACGGGUGAGUAACACGUGAGUAACCUGCCCUUGACUUUGGGAUAACUUCAGGAAACUGGGGCUAAUACCGGAUAGGAGCUCCUGCUGCAUGGUGGGGGUUGGAAAGUUUCGGCGGUUGGGGAUGGACUCGCGGCUUAUCAGCUUGUUGGUGGGGUAGUGGCUUACCAAGGCUUUGACGGGUAGCCGGCCUGAGAGGGUGACCGGCCACAUUGGGACUGAGAUACGGCCCAGACUCCUACGGGAGACAGCAGUGGGGAAUAUUGCACAAUGGGCGGAAGCCUGAUGUAGCAACGCCGCGUGCGGGAUGACGGCCUUCGGGUUGUAAACCGCUUUCGCCUGUGACGAAGCGUGAGUGACGGUAAUGGGUAAAGAAGCACCGGCUAACUACGU